rnacentral:rRNA from 1 species
ACGGAAGGCAGCAGUGGGGAAUAUUGGGCAAUGGGCGAAAGCCUGACCCAGCAACGCCGCGUGAAGGAAGAAGGCCUUCGGGUUGUAAACUUCUUUUGUCAGGGACGAAGGACGUGACGGUACCUGACGAAUAAGCAACGGCUAACUACGUUCCAGCAGCCGCGGUAAUACGUAGGUUGCAAGCGUUGUCCGGAUUUACUGGGUGUAAAGGGCGUGUAGGCGGAGCUGCAAGUCAGAUGUGAAAUCCCGGGGCUCAACCCCGGAACUGCAUUUGAAACUGUAGCCCUGGAGUAUCGGAGAGGCAAGCGGAAUUCCUAGUGUAGCGGUGAAAUGCGUAGAUAUUAGGAGGAACACCAGUGGAGAAGGCGGCUUGCUGGACGACAACUGACGAUGAGGCGCGAAAGAGUGGGGAGCAAACAGGAUUAGAUACCAUGGU